UACGUAGGAGGCAAGCGUUGUCCGGAAUCACUGGGCGUAAAGCGCGUGUAGGCGGAAGGCUAAGUCUGUGGUGAAAGCGCCUGGCUCAACCGGGCGAGGUCCAUGGAAACUAGUCUUCUGGAGGCCGGUAGAGGGGGGCGGAAUUCCGGGUGUAGUGGUGAAAUGCGUAGAGAUCCGGAGGAACACCAGUGGCGAAGGCGGCCCCCUGGGCCGCGCCUGACGCUGAGACGCGAAAGCGCGGGGAGCGAACGGG
rnacentral:rRNA from 1 species